AACGAACGCUGGCGGCAUGCCUAACACAUGCAAGUCGAACGAGACCUUCGGGUCUAGUGGCGCACGGGUGCGUAACGCGUGGGAAUCUGCCCUUGGGUUCGGAAUAACAGUUAGAAAUGACUGCUAAUACCGGAUGAUGUCUUCGGACCAAAGAUUUAUCGCCCAAGGAUGAGCCCGCGUAAGAUUAGCUAGUUGGUGAGGUAAUGGCUCACCAAGGCGACGAUCUAGCUGGUCUGAGAGGAUGAUCAGCCACACUGGGACUGAGACACGGCCCAGACUCCUACGGGAGGCAGCAGUGGGGAAUAUUGGACAAUGGGCGAAAGCCUGAUCCAGCAAUGCCGCGUGAGUGAUGAAGGCCUUAGGGUUGUAAAGCUCUUUUACCAGGGAUGAUAAUGACAGUACCUGGAGAAUAAGCUCCGGCUAACUCCGUGCCAGCCGCCGCCGUAAG
rnacentral:rRNA from 1 species